UUAUCUUGACGCACAUCCUCUAUUUAUAGACUGCCACGUUUCCAUAGAAAGUAGAAACAGAGAGUCGUAGAAAAUGGCAGCAUCAGUAGCAAAAGGAGCGUCUCUCAGCCACAUAUCCAGAGAAUCCUCAGACAUCAGACGCCUCGCCAACUUCUACAAGGAGAUUUUUGGGUUUGAGGAGAUAGAAAGCCCAGACUUCUUGGAGUUUAAGGUGAUAUGGUUGAAUCUGGCUUCCGUUCAAAUCCACCUCAUCGAGAGGAACCCUAGCUCGAGGCUUCCAGAAGGUCCCUGGAGCGCCACGUCACCCGUCGCCGACCCCAGUCAUCUCCCCAGAGGUCACCAUAUCUGCUUCUCCGUCUCCAAUUUCGAAUCUGUCGUGCGAGCUCUUAAGGAAAAGGAAAUCAAAGUUUUUGAGAGAUCUCUUCCUGAUGGGAAGGUUAAGCAAGUCUUCUUCUUUGAUCCUGAUGGUAAUGGACUGGAGAUUGGAAGUCUGGCUCCAGAGAAAUAAACAGGGAGCUCCAGAGUGGAAUUUCUUUUCAGACCAUAAGUUGCAGAGAAUGUUAAGAUCUUUGGCGAGAAAUGCGGAUGCUUACUUUCUACGAGAGUUUCAACAGCUUUCCAUGACUUUCCUUCGCUCUUUAAGCUUCUUGUCUCUUCACCGUCAGUGGUGGGGGACUGGUGGCUUAUGCUGAGGCAAACCCAACUACUGGGGCAUUAGCCGUUGCAUCUUCUCAAUCAGAGUACAAGAAAAAGGUGGUGGUACUUGGAACUGGUUGGGCUGGAACAAGUUUCUUGAAGAAUCUAAUGAACCCCUCAUAUGAGAGGUACAAGCAGUAUCAUCUCGUAAUUAUUUUGCAUUCACCCCUUUGCUACCAAGUGUGACGUGGUACAAUGGAAGCUCGUAGCAUUGUUGAGUUGAUUCGCAACAUUGUUCGAAAGCAGAAAAAUGUAGACGUUCAAUUCUGAGAAGCAGAGUGUUACAAGAUUGAUGUAAAAAACAAGAAAAUUUAUUGUCAAUCUGCUCAAAACAAAAAUUUGAACGGGAAAGAAGAAUUUGUUAUGGACUUAUGACUACCUUGUAA